rnacentral:tRNA from 1 species
GCCGAGAUGACAGAGUCAGGUCAAAACAAGGCCACAUGUGCUCGCCUCGAGAGCGAGUGAGCCUUUGUGCUCGCGCAGGUUCAAAUCCUGCUCUCGGCG